UGCUAGGAGCUGCCUCAAAGUCGCUCUGGGUUACACAGGUUGCACACAGCAGGGUGGGAGCGUAGAGUUCCUUCUGCGCCCUUCUGAGGCAAUUCGUGGCGGGAUCGGGGAGCUGAGAAAUGUGUUAAUAUUGGAAGCUUGGCGCUUUCCAGACUGCUUGGAUUACAAGUGUGCACCAUCAUUGCUGGCAGAAUGAACAACCAGCCUCCAGGGAAGAGGACCCAGGGACAUCUCACAAGUCUGGAGCUUCCCUGACCUUCAUUGAGUUUUUCCCUGAGAGCCUCCACCCCACUUGGAACAGGAUAGGUAAAAGCAAAUGGAGAGGACGGAGGCCAGGAGAAGGCGCUGGCUGGAUCCUGCUGAUGGAGGGUGGCAGAGAGGGUGAUGAAAGAGCCCUUUGGAGAGUGUGACAGUUUCUGGGGUAAGAGCAUAAACUGGACCUUGUUCUAGCCCUGCCUUUCCUGGGGAGGGGACUUGGAUCUGGGGGAGAACUCCUUUCCCCAGCCAGCGGAAGAGCAGGGUGUGUUGGAGAGGAGGAAGGGAGCUGCUUGAAUCUUAGUCAUGGCUGUUGUCCCACAUUCAGACGAGGUCUGGUUUCCAACACAACCAUGAAAACACAAAUGGGAUUUUAUUAUUAAAAAGGAAGAAGGAGCCAGGUGUGGUGGUGCACGCCUGUAAUAC